GGAGAGGUGUCCGAGCGGUCGAAGGAGCACGCCUGGAAAGUGUGUAAGGGGUAACUCUUCGAGGGUUCGAAUCCCUCCCUCUCCGCCA
rnacentral:tRNA from 1 species